CCUACGGGAGGCAGCAGUCGAGAAUCAUUCACAAUGGGGGAAACCCUGAUGGUGCGACGCCGCGUGGGGGAAUGAAGGUCUUCGGAUUGUAAACCCCUGUCAUGUGGGAGCAAAUUAAAAAGAUAGUACCACAAGAGGAAGAGACGGCUAACUCUGUGCCAGCAGCCGCGGUAAUACAGAGGUCUCAAGCGUUGUUCGGAAUCACUGGGCGUAAAGCGUGCGUAGGCUGUUUCGUAAGUCGUGUGUGAAAGGCGCGGGCUCAACCCGCGGACGGCACAUGAUACUGCGAGACUAGAGUAAUGGAGGGGGAACCGGAAUUCUCGGUGUAGCGGUGAAAUGCGGAGAUAUCGAGAGGAACACUCGUGGCGAAGGCGGGUUCCUGGACAUUAAUUGACGCUGAGGCACGAAGGCCAGGGGAGCGAAAGGGAUUAGAUACCCCAGUAGUC
rnacentral:rRNA from 1 species